AUCGCNGCUACCAUGCAAGUCGAGGGGUAGGAAAUUUCGGUUUCUGAGACCGGCGCACGGGUGCGUAACACGUAUGCAAUCUACCUUGUACAGAGGGAUAGCCCGGAGAAAUCCGGAUUAAUACCUCAUAGUAUUUUGAAAUGGCAUCAUUUUAAGAUUAAAGAUUUAUCGGUACAAGAUGAGCAUGCGUCCCAUUAGUUAGUUGGUGUGGUAACGGCACACCAAGACGAUGAUGGGUAGGGGUCCUGAGAGGGAUGUCCCCCACACUGGUACUGAGACACGGACCAGACUCCUACGGGAGGCAGCAGUGAGGAAUAUUGGUCAAUGGACGCAAGUCUGAACCAGCCAUGCCGCGUGCAGGAAGAAGGUUCUAUGGAUUGUAAACUGCUUUUGUACAGGAAGAAAUUAUCCCUCGUGAGGGAGCUUGACGGUACUGUAAGAAUAAGGAUCGGCUAACUCCGUGCCAGCAGCCGCGGUAAUACGGAGGAUCCGAGCGUUAUCCGGAAUCAUUGGGUUUAAAGGGUUCGUAGGCGGUUUUGUAAGUCAGUGGUGAAAGUUUUCGGCUUAACCGGAAAAUUGCCAUUGAUACUGCAAGACUUGAAUGUUUGUGAAGUAGCUAGAAUAUGUAGUGUAGCGGUGAAAUGCUUAGAUAUUACAUGGAAUACCGAUUGCGAAGGCAGGUUACUAACAAAUGAUUGACGCUGAUGGACGAAAGCGUGGGUAGCGAACAGGAUUAGAUACCCUGGUAGUCCACGCUGUAAACGAUGGAUACUAGCUGUUUGGUCGUACGACUGAGUGGCUAAGCGAAAGUGAUAAGUAUCCCACCUGGGGAGUACGUUCGCAAGAAUGAAACUCAAAGGAAUUGACGGGGGCCCGCACAAGCGGUGGAGCAUGUGGUUUAAUUCGAUGAUACGCGAGGAACCUUACCAGGGCUUAAAUGUAGUCUGACAGGCGUGGAAACAUGCCCUUCU
rnacentral:rRNA from 1 species